UCCCUGGCGGACUUGUGGUUAGGCCACGGCACUCUCGCUACUGCCGCCUGGGUUCAAUUCCCGGCCAGGGAA